rnacentral:misc_RNA from 1 species
GUGGGAGCAUAUUCUUCUCUUCAUCUUGAUUAUAUAUGUAUUCCUGCAGAUCAUAAAGUUAUAGUAAUGCUUCGAAGUGUCCUAUAAAUCCCUAAUUGACCACUUAAGUAUGCAUAGAUACAGCAAUGAAUCUUGAAACAUUUAAUCUGAAGAAAAGAACAAUUAAUGGAACCUGAAUCCCUCAGAUUUCUUGAGUCCCUUACAAGAAAUGUUAAAGAGAAAAAGUGUUGUAAUGACAACGAAAAAAGCAAAUCAUAUCCUUCUCUAAUUUUAAUAGGUCUAGCAGAUAGAUCAAUAAAACUAUACUCUUUUAUUCUCUAUAUAAAACUAGAAUAUGAUCACAACAAUCAC